CCUACAGAGGGCAGCUCCGUCCAAUCCCGUGUCGGAAAGCCCGACCAGUCCCCGAGAGUGGAGCCAAUAGGACGCGACUCCGGCAACACACCCGCCCUGAUCCACUUAGGAACGAACCGCUCAGAGCCCAGGCGUGGGACCCAGAUGCGGGCACCCAGAGCGAGUCAGAGAAAGUUGGGCUAUGAAGGAAAUCUGCACACACUCGCUGUGGCACCAUGAACUGUUCGAGUUUAGGCCUUGGCUUGUAGAAUACAACUCCAAAGUGCCAAAGCACGCAGCGAUCAGGUAGUGCGUCGCAGUCCUGAGCUUCUCUAUAUGCUUAAUAAAUGUUCUAGACACCGAGUAUCUGAAAGAGAGAUGAUCUAUACGAAAAGCCAAAAGAAGAGAAAAAUAAGUAGGAGAGAUAUCAAACAAGAAAACAUGGCCACAUUACCACCUUACUUUCAUGACUGAAACUUACCAUGCCUUCCCAGAUGACCUCCAAGACUAAGUUUUGUCCAAAAAAAAACACCUUCUGGAUUGAUUUUUAGCAAAUCUUGUGAUAACCGUUUUAAGAGUAGAACAUGCACAGCUCUGCCUGCCUCUCUUGAAUGUGGUGAGAUCCAACCAAGAAAGUGUCAAGCACGUUGUUUUCUGUAAGAGACUGUGCCAAGUGCAAAGUGGCAUUAAAUGCAUUAUAAUUACUUGGGUUUCCUUACAGGCAAAUAUCAAGAUACCUGCCUACAAGCAGCCUACUAAUAUUUCCUCUGAAUGUCUUUUUAUUUUCUGUCCAAAAUAUUUUCGAGCCUGCCAGUUUUCUCUCAAAGGAGAUUGGAAUGAAACUUCUGACUCCUAAUUCUAGAGCAAAGCAGUACUUUCAGGUUUUUUCCUCUUUUUCUCUUUUUUGAAUGGAGAGCGUUUUGGAAGUGGAGACUAAAGCAAGAAGUAAUUCUGGAUAGGAAAAGUUUGAGAAAUGUUACUUUUUACUGAUUACUCGGAAACAUUCCUCAAAACAAAAUGGAUCAUAAUGUCUAUUCAAUAUUCUUCUGUUCAUAAUGUUCAAAAACAUGCGCAAGCUUCAAUGAAUACAUAUAAAUAAUGUAUCCUAUGCCAGCUAAUGUGCAUGGUUUUACAAGGAGGUUGUUAAUGGCUGAAUAAAAUUUAUACCCACAUAAGCAAGUGAAAAACUUGCAGGCAGUUUAUUAGGGACUUAACUUACGAAUUUCGUGCUUAAUUUUUAAAGAAGAAAGUAAAUGUGUAUUUUUAGAUAUAUCUCCAUGUGUCAUAAAGUAAUUUGUUUACUUUGUUCCAAAAUAUGCAAUCUAUUACAGAAGUCUAAUUUUUACUUCAAACAAAUGUACAUAUGGUAACUCUAGAAUGUAAAAUUCGCUGAAUUUAAUUGAACCAGCAGUUGUUAUUUUCAAGUAAUUAAGUGUGCAUAUUUCAUUUUCUGAGUGAAAAUUGUGGAAGAAUUGAUCAAUGUUAGUCUAAUAUGCAUGGCUUAAGUAUUUAAAACAAACCCAGUGUUUGGUAAUUUUCUGAUUUUCAAUAAGUCUAUACGCACUUAUUUUAGAGAGCUGUCAGGUUUAAGAUAUACUUAAAUGUUUAUCUGAGAAACUGACUUCGGGGUUAGUUCUAGCAUUCAUAAAGACUUUUUUGUUGUUUUUUACGAUACACAGAAAAUUUUUUAGAAGUUGGUGAUAUGACUAAUCAUAACAUUAAUUUCCCCAUGUUUUUACGUUUAAGAUAAUGUUUCAAGAUUGCUUCAUUAAUGAGUCUAACAACUGGAUUCAGAUCUUUUAGAUCCUAUAGUUGAAAUGUCUCUGUAUUUCUGUGUUUUGGAAAAAUCAGACUUCUAUGUGACUUCAACUCACUUCUAUGUGACUUCAAUCCAGUUCAUUCAGAGAAAAAUGAUGUCAUUAGGAAAAAUGCAAUAAUAUCUAUAUAGAGAGAAUAGAAAAAUAAUUAGCUAUUUUUUUUCUUUCUACUUCUGAAAAGGAUAAAGAAAAAUAUUUUUGUGAAUCAUACCCUUAGAUCCCUUUAAUUCUCCUUUUAUAAAGUCUAUACUUCAUAUUUUUAACCCAACCUUGAAGAGUUUCUUCAUUGUGUGACAUAUUUAUGGCAAGAAUCUUUUAUAUGCCUAUGGAGAAACAGAGAAAAGGUUUUAGAAAACACUGGUGAUGGGCACACUAAACCCCUUAUCCUGUUUUAUCUUACAUCAUGGUCUCUGGAGGCAAUUUCUUUCUGAGUUAAGUAUUAAGAGAAACUUUGUCCCCUCUGAAAUGAAAUAUUUGUAAUUUGUUUGGAUUUCAACUCUCAGAAAGUUCAGAGCUAAAUUCACACCUUAAUUUAACAAGAUAUUACAGCCUGCUUCCCUGUAAUUUUUAAAAAUAAAUAUCA